rnacentral:rRNA from 1 species
UACGGGGGAUGCGAGCGUUAUCCGGAUUUAUUGGGUUUAAAGGGUGCGUAGGCGGCGCUUCAGGUCAGCGGUGAAAUACCGGGGCUUAACCCCGUGCCUGCCUCUGAUACUGUUCGACUGGAGAGCGGAUGCAGCAGGCGGAAUGAGUAGUGUAGCGGUGAAAUGCUUAGAUAUUACUCAGAACACCGAUUGCGCAGGCAGCUUGCUAAUCCGCAUCUGACGCUGAUGCACGAAAGCGUGGGUAGCGAACAGG